GUCAUAGUGAUCCGGUGGUUCUGAAUGGAAGGGCCAUCGCUCAACGGAUAAAAGGUACUCCGGGGAUAACAGGCUGAUACCGCCCAAGAGUUCAUAUCGACGGCGGUGUUUGGCACCUCGAUGUCGGCUCAUCACAUCCUGGGGCUGAAGUAGGUCCCAAGGGUAUGGCUGUUCGCCAUUUAAAGUGGUACGCGAGCUGGGUUUAGAACGUCGUGAGACAGUUCGGUCCCUAUCUGCCGUGGGCGCUGGAGAACUGAGGGGGGCUGCUCCUAGUACGAGAGGACCGGAGUGGACGCAUCACUGGUGUUCGGGUUGUCAUGCCAAUGGCACUGCCCGGUAGCUAAAUGCGGAAGAGAUAAGUGCUGAAAGCAUCUAAGCACGAAACUUGCCCCGAGAUGAGUUCUCCCUGAGACUUUAGGUCUCCUGAAGGAACGUUGAAGACGACGACGUUGAUAGGCCGGGUGUGUAAGCGCAGCGAUGCGUUGAGCUAACCGGUACUAAUGAACCGUGAGGCUUAACCUUACA
rnacentral:rRNA from 1 species